GGUCAAGCGAACAAGUGCAUGUGGUGGAUGCCUUGGCGAUCACAGGCGAUGAAGGACGCGGUAGCCUGCGAAAAGCCCCGGGGAGC
rnacentral:rRNA from 1 species